rnacentral:rRNA from 1 species
AUUUUGGACAAUGGGCGAAAGCCUGAUCCAGCAAUGCCGCGUGCAGGAGAAAGGCCUUCGGGUUGUAAACUGCUUUUGUACGGAACGAAAAGCCCUGGGGUAAUACCCUGGGGCAAUGACGGUACCGUAAGUAUAAGCACCGGCUAAAUACGCUCCAGCAGCCGCGGUAAUACGUAGGGUGCGAGCGUUAAUCGGAAUUACUGGGCGUAAAGCGUGCGCAGGCGGUUUUGUAAGACAGCGGUGAAAUCCCCGGGCUCAACCUGGGAACUGCCUUUGUGACUGCAAGGCUAGAGUACGGCAGAGGGGGAUGGAAUUCCGCGUGUAGCAGUGAAAUGCGUAGAUAUGCGGAGGAACACCGAUGGCGAAGGCAAUCCCCUGGGCCUGUACUGACGCUCAUGCACGAAAGCGUGGGGAGCAAACAGG